rnacentral:ncRNA from 1 species
GAGAUAGAGGUUGCGUUUUUCAUCAGUAUGCUGUCGGAUGCGGCAGGCGCAGAGGAAGGCAGAUGAAAGGGGAAAACGCCGAAAGAACAGAUUUCCUGGCAGAUUUGUUCUUGGGCGCACAGUUAAGAACUGUGUGACUGUCAUCGUAAGAUGGUGCGCUAUCUA